GGUUAAGCGACUAAGCGUACACGGUGGAUGCCCUGGCAGUCAGAGGCGAUGAAGGACGUGCUAAUCUGCGAUAAGCGCCGGUAAGGUGAUAUGAACCGUUAUAACCGGCGAUUUCCGAAUGGGGAAACCCAGUGUGAUUCGUCACACUAUCAUUAACUGAAUCCAUAGGUUAAUGAGGCGAACCGGGGGAACUGAAACAUCUAAGUACCCCGAGGAAAAGAAAUCAACCGAGAUUCCCCCAGUAGCGGCGAGCGAACGGGGAGGAGCCCAGAGCCUGAAUCAGCAUGUGUGUUAGUGGAAGCGUCUGGAAAGGCGCGCGAUACAGGGUGACAGCCCCGUACACAAAAGCGCAUGUGUUGUGAGCUCGAUGAGUAGGGCGGGACACGUGGUAUCCUGUCUGAAUAUGGGGGGACCAUCCUCCAAGGCUAAAUACUCCUGACUGACCGAUAGUGAACCAGUACCGUGAGGGAAAGGCGAAAAGAACCCCGGCGAGGGGAGUGAAAAAGAACCUGAAACCGUGUACGUACAAGCAGUGGGAGCCCCACCACUAAGCCAGUGGUGAACUCCACAUACGCAUCCUUUGCUGAGGAUACGGUUAACGGAGCGAAAGCGACGUUGAACCGCAAAAGAAGCAGAGGGGGCUUAGUGGUGGGGUGACUGCGUACCUUUUGUAUAAUGGGUCAGCGACUUAUAUUCUGUAGCAAGGUUAACCGUAUAGGGGAGCCGCAGGGAAACCGAGUCUUAACCGGGCGUUAAGUUGCAGGGUAUAGACCCGAAACCCGGUGAUCUAGCCAUGGGCAGGUUGAAGGUUGGGUAACACUAACUGGAGGACCGAACCGACUAAUGUUGAAAAAUUAG
rnacentral:rRNA from 1 species